rnacentral:misc_RNA from 1 species
GCUUUUCAGGUGAAGCUUAAAGCUGAUUCUAAUUUAGGUAUACUUUGUAUUAACCUUUUUUGUGUUCAUCAAGUGGCAACAAGAAAGCAGUGUUAAAAAAGUAAAAGAAGAAAAGGAAUGAGAAUCAAAUUUAGAACAAAAGGACUACAACAAAAUGAAGAACCAAACUGAGGCUAAUUUAGUGUACGAAAAUUUGUUUUGUCUAUUUUCCAUCGCUUG